CCUACGGGCUGCAGCAGUGAGGAAUAUUGGUCAAUGGUCGGGAGACUGAACCAGCCAAGCCGCGUGAGGGAUGAAGGUACAGAGUAUCGUAAACCUCUUUUGUCAGGGAACAAAGGCGGGGACGUGUCCCCGGAUGAGUGUACCUGAAGAAAAAGCAUCGGCUACCUCCGUGCCAGCAGCCGCGGUAAUACGGAGGAUGCGAGCUUUAUCCGGAUUUAUUGGUUUUAAAGGGUGCGCAGGCGGUCUGUUACGUCUGCGCACAACGCCCGGGGCACAACCCCGGCCCGCCGUUGAAACUGGCAGUCUCGAGUUGGAGAGAAGUAUGCGGAAUGCGCGGUGUAGCGGUGAAAUGCAUAGAUAUCGCGCAGAACUCCGAUUGCGAAGGCAGCAUGCCGGCUCCACACUGACGCUGAGGCACGAAAGCGUGGGUAUCGAACAGGAUUAGAUACCCGAGUAGUC
rnacentral:rRNA from 1 species